AUUGAACGCUGGCGGCAUGCCUUACACAUGCAAGUCGAACGGUAACAGGUCUUCGGAUGCUGACGAGUGGCGAACGGGUGAGUAAUACAUCGGAACGUGCCCGAUCGUGGGGGAUAACGCAGCGAAAGCUGUGCUAAUACCGCAUACGAUCUACGGAUGAAAGCGGGGGAUCGCAAGACCUCGCGCGGACGGAGCGGCCGAUGGCAGAUUAGGUAGUUGGUGGGAUAAAAGCUUACCAAGCCGACGAUCUGUAGCUGGUCUGAGAGGACGACCAGCCACACUGGGACUGAGACACGGCCCAGACUCCUACGGGAGGCAGCAGUGGGGAAUUUUGGACAAUGGGGGAAACCCUGAUCCAGCCAUGCCGCGUGCAGGAUGAAGGCCUUCGGGUUGUAAACGUGCUUUUGUACGGUAACGAAAAGGUACCGUUUCUUAAUUAAAGAAGGGACUCAUGACGGUACCGUAAGAAGUAAGACACCGGCGUAACUACGUAGCCAGCAGCCGCGGUAAACUCG
rnacentral:rRNA from 1 species